rnacentral:tRNA from 1 species
GCACACUUAGCUCAGUGAUUAGAGCAUCAAUCUUGAAUGUUGAGUUUGCAGGUUCAAUUCCUGCAGUGUACA